AUCUUUUUAGUACUAAGAAGUAUAAGUGACUUCCAAUCACCUGGUCUUGGUUAAAACCCAAGAAAAGAUA
ensembl:Mt_tRNA